GGGGAAAGCACUGCUUAGUUGUUCUGUGCAGCAGUUUGGAUACCUGUAAACAGGCAUGCAUCCUGCUAAAUGCAUCCGUGGUAAUGAGCUCUUACGUAAUUAAUAUUUCAAGCAUUCCCAUGCUGGAUUGAUAUACUGUAAAUGAACAGUGUCAGAUGACAACGGAAAUUAGAUAAGGAGCAGCUGGAAGUGAUCUGCAUGUAGUUAAGAUCUAGCCCUGCUAGGAAACUGCUUUUAUUAGCAGCAACCUGAAAAAAACUUCAGGGAUUUUCGGAGCGGUGCCUUACCUGCGGGGCGAGAAGGGGGGCUCGUUGUCUGGCUCCCCAGUGCCCAUCAUCAGGACCAGAUCCUUCAUUAGCACCAAGCAGCAUCCUUUGCAGCAUGGUGCCAACCACGUUCGUUAGCUGCUUGUAAUUGGCCCAUGAUUUGGAAAUUGCAUGCAGGAUAUGGGGGCAAAAGAGCUUUUUCUGAAACUCAUGACGAAAUGAGGAACUGGGUAGCUGAGUGCAGGGAUUUGAAUUUCAAGUGUGGAUGCUCUGCUUAAUGAAAGAUAGAAAUGGUGCUAUUGAGAGGAGAAAAGAAAAGAAUUGGAAUUCCACCUGGGGUGAUAAAAGCAAUCUCAGGUUACCCAUAAAUGACGUGAGUAUAAUUUGGCUUUGUGUGUGUAAGGCGUGUUCUGGCAUCCUGUUGGGCACUGGCCAUGGGGUGCAUUGCUGCAGGCCCCUGAGCAGCCGGGAGCGGGGAGCCCUUCUCCACGGGCAGCUCCUCCAGAGGCUUCACCUCCAGUGCUGCUGCGGCAUCUGGCCCGGCUCGCUGCAGCUGGGAGAUGAAAAUUCCCGUGCUCACACUGCCUGUGAGCAUUUUAUUGAUGGUUGCCUAUUCUGAGGGCCGGCACAGCCCCAUGAGGAGCUCUCAAGGUCAGCCCAGGAGGGCUCCGAGGUCUGGCCUCACUCAGGGAGGCGAUUGCUGCAUCACAGUGCACGGGGCGCAGGAGAUGAGCUUUGCUCGCAGGCUCCAAGACAGGAACAGAAAGGAGGUGAGAGGGGAAGAACCCACCCCUAUAAUUAGCUGUGUAAUUAAGCUUCCUCUUGGGCAGGGAGCGCUGGGCCAGUUCUGCCUCCCAUGAAUUGCGGUGACACCUCCGUCACCUCUCACUUAAGAGAAACAAAUCGGUGCCCAGAAGGCUUUCUCCAACAGGGGACUCGGAUACAAAAACAAUUCUUGUUGCAGGCUUAGCAAGUGUAUUUGGGGUUAAAAUGGAUGGAUUUAGCCACUGAUAUGGGAUAGGGGAUUGCCUAGUGAUGCAUGAGGUCCCAACGGGGAAGAGAGAAAGUCUGAAACAAAGCAAAAGUAAUUAAAUAGAGGCAGAGCAGGCAGCACUUCUGCGCUUGAUAAUCUAUGCAAACUACAAGGGUUCUUGUUCGGACAAUCAAUAAACCAGCCCGUUUCAUUUUAUUUUUGUGUGGU
rnacentral:lncRNA from 1 species